rfam:Gossypium arboreum cultivar AKA8401 contig_14333_1, whole genome shotgun sequence.
AUUCCGUGAUGAGGGCAUCAUUGUAAUAGUCCUUUAAAUCUUUCCUAUGCCUCAUACAAGGACUCGUCAUCCAUCUAUUAGAAGGUAGUGAUCUCAUUCAGCAACU